AGAGUUUGAUCCUGGCUCAGGACAAACGCUGGCGGCGUGCGUAACACAUGCAAGUCGAGCGGGCUGACUCUUCGGAGUCAGUCAGCGGCGGACGGGUGAGGAACACGUGAGUGACCAACCCUCCAGUGGGGGAUACCCGGCGGAAACGCUGGUUAAUCCCGCAUACGCUUCUUUUUGAAGGAAAGCGGCAACGCGCUGGU
rnacentral:rRNA from 1 species